rnacentral:rRNA from 1 species
UACAGAGGGGGCAAGCGUUAUUCGGAAUUAUUGGGCGUAAAGGGCGCGUAGGCGGCCUUGUAAGUGACGGGUGAAAUCCCUCGGCUUAACCGAGGAACUGCCUGUCAAACUGCGAGGCUUGAGACCGGGAGAGGUGAGUGGAAUUCCCAGUGUAGCGGUGAAAUGCGUAGAUAUUGGCAGGAACACCAGUGGCGAAGGCGGCUCACUGGACCGGUACUGACGCUGAUGCGCGAAAGCGUGGGGAGCAAACAGG